GACAGAGGUCCCCGAGCGUUAGGCGGAAUCACUGGGCUUAAAGCGCGUGUAGGCGGCUUUGCAAGUCGGGUGUGAAAAGCCCUCGGCUCAACCGAGGAAGUGCGCCCGAAACUGCAGAGCUUGAGUACCGGAGAGGGUGGCGGAAUUCCCCAAGUAGAGGUGAAAUUCGUAGAUAUGGGGAGGAACACCGGUGGCGAAGGCGCCACCUGGACGGGAUACUGACGCUGAGACGCGAGAGCGUGGGGAGCAAACAGG
rnacentral:rRNA from 1 species